AUGGCGAUCAGAGAAGGACUAGCACUUGCGGAGGACCUUUACCAAAGGUGUAUUCAUGUUGCAUCUGAUUGCAAGCAGGUUAGCCAUGAAUUUAGGAGCUCAAGUUAUGAAGCUCACAACUUAGCGAAGCAUGCUCUAUCUCUCGGGGAUGGACGUCGUGUGUGGCUAGGCCACCCCGGAGAUCUUCCCUUCGUCCCUGUAAACAUUAUGACGAACUAA
rnacentral:rRNA from 1 species